rnacentral:rRNA from 1 species
UACGUAGGGGGGCUAGCGUUGUCCGGAUUUAUUGGGCGUAAAGAGCGUGUAGGCGGCCAGGUAGGUCUGCUGUGAAAACUCGAGGCUCAACCUCGAGACGUCGGCGGAAACCAUCUGGCUAGAGUCCGGAAGAGGAGAGUGGAAUUCCUGGUGUAGCGGUGAAAUGCGCAGAUAUCAGGAAGAACACCCGUGGCGAAGGCGGCUCUCUGGGACGGGUACUGACGCUGAGACGCGAAAGCGUGGGGAGCGAACAGG